UCUCCNNNNANUACAANGCNAGUCNAGCGGUUAGAGAGAAUCUUGCUUCUCUUGAGAGCGGCGGACGGGNUGCAGUAAUGCCNUAUCGAAUCGUGCCUGGUUAGUGGGGGAUAACGGUUCGNAAACGGACGCUAAUACCGCAUACGUCCUACGGGAGAAAGCAGGGGACCUUCGGGCCUUGCGCUAUCAGAUGAGCCUAGGUCGGAUUANCUAGUUGGUGGGGUAAUGGCUCACCAAGGCGACGAUCCGUAACUGGUCUGAGAGGAUGAUCAAUCACACUGNAACUGAGACACGGUCCANACUCCUACGGGAGGCAGCAGUGGGGAAUAUUGGACAAUGNGCGAAAGCCUGAUCCAGCCAUGCCGCGUGUGUGAAGAAGGUCUUCGGAUUGUAAAGCACUUUAAGUUGGGAGGAAGGGUUGUAGAUUAAUACUCUGCAAUUUUGACGUUACCGACAGAAUAAGCACCGGCUAACUCUGUGCCAGCAGCCGCGGUAAUACAGAGGGUGCAAGCGUUAAUCGGAAUUACUGGGCGUAAAGCGCGCGUAGGUGGUUAGUUAAGUUGGAUGUGAAAUCCCCGGGCUCAACCUGGGAACUGCAUUCAAAACUGACUGACUAGAGUAUGGUAGAGGGUGGUGGAAUUUCCUGUGUAGCGGUGAAAUGCGUAGAUAUAGGAAGGAACACCAGUGGCGAAGGCGACCACCUGGACUGAUACUGACACUGAGGUGCGAAAGCGUGGGGAGCAAACAGGAUUAAA
rnacentral:rRNA from 1 species